CCUACGGGGGGCUGCAGUGGGGAAUAUUGGACAAUGGGGGCAACCCUGAUCCAGCCAUGCCGCGUGUGUGAAGAAGGCCCUCGGGUUGUAAAGCACUUUCAGUGAGGAAGAACGCCUGGUGGUUAAUACCCAUCAGGAAAGACAUCACUCACAGAAGAAGCACCGGCUAACUCCGUGCCAGCAGCCGCGGUAAUAGGGAGGGUGCGAGCGUUAAUCGGAAUUACUGGGCGUAAAGCGCGCGUAGGUGGCUUGAUAAGCCGGUUGUGAAAGCCCCGGGCUCAACCUGGGAACGGCAUCCGGAACUGUCAAGCUAGAGUGCAGGAGAGGAAGGUAGAAUUCCCGGUGUAGCGGUGAAAUGCGUAGAGAUCGGGAGGAAUACCAGUGGCGAAGGCGGCCUUCUGGACUGACACUGACACUGAGGUGCGAAAGCGUGGGUAGCAAACAGGAUUAGAUACCCCUGUAGUC
rnacentral:rRNA from 1 species